GGGGGGGGGGGGGGGCGGGGGGGGGGGGGGGGGGGGGGGGGGAGGGGGGGGGGUGGGGGGGGGUGGUCGAGUGGCGGACGGGUGAGUAACAGGUGAGUGAGGUGCGCGUGACGUUGGGAUAACUUCGGGAGACUGGGGCGAAUAGCUGGGAGGAGCUCCUGCGGCAUGGUGGGGGUUGGAGAGGUUAGGCGGAUGGGGAGUUGCUCGCGGUUGAUGCGAUUGUGGUGGGGGUUGUGGCUUCACAAGGCUUUGACGGGUAGCCGGCCUGAGAGGGUGACCGGCCACAUUGGGACUGAGAUACGGCCCAGAUUCCUACGGGAGGCAGCAGUGGGGAAUAUUGCACAAUGGGCGGAAGCCGGAUGCAGCAACGCCGCGUGCGGGAUGACGGCCUUCGGGUUGUAAACGUCUUUCGCAUGUGACGAAGCGUGAGUGACGGUAAUGGGUACAGAAGCACCGGCUAACUACGUG
rnacentral:rRNA from 1 species